rnacentral:lncRNA from 1 species
AUGACUGCUUGUGCUCCUUGGAAGUUCUUUUUUGUUUCAGCAAAGAUCCUCCAGGGAGACUUACAAAGAACCAGUCCAACUCACCAAGUCACUCUGAAAGGGUCUUGCAGACGUCUACCAUCUAAGAAGCAACACUAUCAAGUGGGCAGAAGAUCUCUAAAGCUCAAACAUGUGCAGAUGUCUUGCAUUCUAACCUAGCCCACCAAAUGAGUGGUCUGACAGGCAGUAGAAAUACAUACCCUAGACCAGUGGUCCCUAGCCAUUCUGGUGCCAACUAUUGGUUUGGUGGAGAUAAGUUUUCCACAGACAGGAGUGGAGGGGGAUGGUUUGGGGAAGAUUCAAAGGACACAACCUCAAUCCCUUGAGUGCAAAGUUGACAGUAGGAUUCAAGUUCCUGUGAGAAUGUAAUGCCACCGCUGAUCUGACAGGAAGUGGAGUUCAGGCAGUAAUGUGAGCAAUCGGAAGCAGUUCUCUCACCUACCUCUCACUGCCUGCUGUGUGGCCCUGUUCCUACCAGGCCUUGGACAGGGUAUCAGACUGUGGCCUGGGGGUUGGGGACCCUUUUCCUAGAUUCCUCAUCUUGAAGACACCCCCAACACCACAUAAAAACCUCAACCCAAACUACAGUGCAUCUCACUCUACAAACACCUGCACCGUCCUCUAAGUGUAAACUUCUUUCUGGCUAAUAAACCUCUGUAUGCCUCUCCCUGACACAUCUUGAAAAUUCUUUUUCUGUGACAGAAGUGAGCAAACCUACAACCUACCCUGUGGGUGAGGUGGAUGAGGUCCUCACCUCCUCUUUGGGGAACCUACUC